UCUAGCAUGUGCGCGAGUCAUUGGGACUUUUUUUCAGGAAAGCCCAGAGGCGCAAUGAAAGUGAAGAUCGGCCUUUUCGGCUUGAUCGAGGGAGGAUGGCUCAUUGUUAUUUUUUAUGAUGACGGGCUCGCACUCCCGGGGCGUCUCGCGCUCAUUUCGAGCGGAGGCGCACCCAGAGCGUACACGCUGGGACCCGAAAGAUGGUGAACUAUGCCUGGUCAGGACGAAGUCAGGGGAAACCCUGAUGGAGGUCCGUAGCGAUUCUGACGUGCAAAUCGAUCGUCGGAACUGGGUAUAGGGGCGAAAGACUAAUCGAACCAUCUAGUAGCUGGUUCCCUCCGAAGUUUCCCUCAGGAUAGCUGGCACUCGCUUAAAGCGAGUCUCAUCUGGUAAAGCGAAUGAUUAGAGGCCUCUUGGGGCCGAAACGACCUCAACCUAUUCUCAAACUUUAAAUGGGUGAGAUCUCUGGCUUGCUUGAAACUUGAAGCCACGAGAUUAAUAUCGUAAAAUGGAUCAGAGUGCCAAGUGGGCCAAUUUUGGUAAGCAGAACUGGCGA
rnacentral:rRNA from 1 species